rnacentral:piRNA from 1 species
UGAAACUUGCGUUCGUCAGCGGUAGUUU